CUAAAUUCUCUAGAGCUCUCAUGAAGUUGGGAUAUGUUCAGGACCAAAAUGAACACAACCGUAUAAACUUGAAAUGAGCUGAUGAUAUAUGUGUUUCACUUAUUGUCUCGGUUUACUAUAAAACGUGGUUAGUUCAAGACUAGAGUUCACUACCUACAAAGUAAAUCCGAUAAGUGUUUACUAGGAAAGGUUCAAGUCCAAAAGACACCUUUACCGAUGCUUAUUGAU
rnacentral:lncRNA from 1 species